UACAGAGGGGGCAAGCGUUGUUCGGAAUUACUGGGCGUAAAGGGCGCGUAGGCGGCCUUCUAAGUCGAACGUGAAAUCCCCGGGCUCAACCCGGGAACUGCGUCCGAUACUGGAAGGCUUGAAUCCGGGAGAGGGAUGCGGAAUUCCAGGUGUAGCGGUGAAAUGCGUAGAUAUCGUGAGGAACACCAGAGGCGAAGGCGGCUACCUGGACAAUUGCUGACGCUCAGGCACGAAAGCGUGGGGAGCAAAAGGG
rnacentral:rRNA from 1 species